UACGGAGGGGACAAGCGUUAUUCAUCCUUAUUGGGCGUAAAGGGUAUGUAGGUGAUAAAAAAGGUUUUUUCUUAAAGUUCAAGUUUAUGUCUUGAAGCUGGAUUUAACCGUGAUCAAUUUGAGAUUUGUUGAGGUUGGCGGAAUUACUAAAGUAGAGGUAAAAUAUUACGAUCUUAGUAACGAACACCAAAAGCGAAAGCAGCUUUCUCAUCAAUCUGACACUGAGAUACGAAAAGCAUGGG
rnacentral:rRNA from 1 species